GAUGAACGCUGGCGGCGUGCCUAAUACAUGCAAGUCGAGCGAAUGGAUUAAGAGCUUGCUCUUAUGAAGUUAGCGGCGGACGGGUGAGUAACACGUGGGUAACCUGCCCAUAAGACUGGGAUAACUCCGGGAAACCGGGGCUAAUACCGGAUAACAUUUUGAACCGCAUGGUUCGAAAUUGAAAGGCGGCUUCGGGCGUCACUUAUGGAUGGACCCGGGUCGCAUUAGCUAGUUGGUGAGGUAACGGCUCACCAAGGCAACGAUGCGUAGCCGACCUGAGAGGGUGAUCGGCCACACUGGGACUGAGACACGGCCCAGACUCCUACGGGAGGCAGCAGUAGGGAAUCUUCCGCAAUGGACGAAAGUCUGACGGAGCAACGCCGCGUGAGUGAUGAAGGCUUUCGGGUCGUAAAACUCUGUUGUUAGGGAAGAACAAGUGCUAGUUGAAUAAGCUGGCACCUUGACGGUACCUAACCAGAAAGCCACGGCUAACUACGUGCCAGCCGCCGCAGUAA
rnacentral:rRNA from 1 species